GUUCAAUCGGCCCUUUUUCGCUAGGGGAAAGAUGUGCUAGCCGAAAAUCAGGUUGAAAUGAAAGUCCCAAGAGAGCGGGAAGAAAGAUUGAAGCUUAGACCAGGCUCAAUUCCUCCCGUCAACAUUGCCAUUUCCUACCCAAGAAUUUACGAUCAGGAUGGCAUUGGUCUCUCACGUGACUGAACCGAGUUAGAAUGAAAAUGCACCACCAUCAACUGAUCCACAUGAGGCAACUGCAGUUCUGUCUAAGCAUCGUAAACAAGGUCCCUUAUGAAACCAUUUCCAACUCCAAAAACCAUAGCUAUUUACAUACAUGGAUGACAACUCGAAAACCAAAAUACGUCAUAAAAGAGCCUGGAGCCAAUUGGGGAACGCAAGGAAAAGAGUCGCCCCAUGGAAAUCGAAUUUGCAUACACCAAACUCAUCUAGAGAGUGAUAAGUGCAUUUUCUAAGAACUUUUUCGCAAAGCUCGUCCCAUUCCUGAUCCGAGGAGCCUACUCGGCAAUCUUGAAUCUCGGCCUGAACAUCUUUCAAAGCCGCUAGUAUCUCUUCCACGAUCACAGAGAUGUUUGCUCCAUUGAACCAAUUGUGAU